rnacentral:rRNA from 1 species
AUUCGCGGCCUAUCAGCUUGUUGGUGAGGUAACGGCUCACCAAGGCAACGACGGGUAGCUGGUCUGAGAGGACGAUCAGCCACACUGGGACUGAGACACGGCCCAGACUCCUACGGGAGGCAGCAGCAGGGAAUAUUGCACAAUGGGCGAAAGCCUGAUGCAGCGACGCCGCGUGAGGGAUGACGGCUUUCGGGUUGUAAACCUCUUUCAGGAGGGAAGAAGCGAAAGUGACGGUACCUCCACAAGAAGCCCCGGCCAACUACGUGCCAGCAGCCGCGGUAAUACGUAGGGGGCAAGCGUUGUCCGGAUUCAUUGGGCGUAAAGAGCUCGUAGGCGGCUCAGCAAGUCGGUCGUGAAAGCCCGGGGCUCAACCCCGGGACGCCGAUCGAAACUGCUGUGGCUAGGGUCCGGUAGAGGAGAGUGGAAUUCCCGGUGUAGCGGUGAAAUGCGCAGAUAUCGGGAGGAACACCAGUAGCGAAGGCGGCUCUCUGGGCCGGCACCGACGCUGAGGAGCGAAAGCUAGGGGAGCAAACAGGAUUAGAUACCCUGGUAGUCCUAGCCGUAAACGUUGGGCACUAGGUGUGGCGGACUCAUUGACGUCUGCCGUGCCGAAGCAAACGCAUUAAGUGCCCCGCCUGGGGAGUACGGAAU